UAGUAGCUCAGUGGUAGUAGCAUUCGGCUGUUAACCGAAGGGUCGUAGGUUCGAAUCCUACCUGA
rnacentral:tRNA from 2 species